rnacentral:tRNA from 1 species
ACCGCGGUAGCUCAGUAGGUGGAGCAUCUGCCCUGUUCGCUGGGUGUCGCCUGUUCGGUUCCGGCUCGCGGUG